UAUCACCAAUUAUAUCUCUUACCACAACCAGAAUAUAUCAACUUCUUCUUUUACAAGUAAUUCACAGUAUUGUCCUCGAUGAAAGUCCAUUGUAUUUCUAAGUUUUAGUGGUGAAGAUACUCGGAAAAAAAAUUAUGAGUCACUUGUACGAAGGUUUGAAAAAUAGAGGAAUAUUUACCUUUCAAGAUAAUAUAAGGUUAGAACAUGGCAAUUCGAUCCCAGAAAAACUCUGGAAAGGUAUCGAAGAGUCACAAGUUGCCCUCGUCAUUUUCUCAAAAAAUUAUGCAAGAUCGAGGUGGUGCUUGAAUGAACUAGUGAAGAUCAUGAAAUGCAAGGAAGGAAAUGGACAAACGGUUAUACCGGUCUUCUAUGACGUGGAUCCAUCACAUGUCCGAAAUCAAAGGGAGAGCUUUGCAGAAGCAUUUGCCGAACAUUAAUUUAAGUAUAAGGAUGAUGUUGAGGGAACUCAGAUGGUGCAAGGAUGGAGGACUGCCUUAACUGCUGCUGCAAAUCUAAAAGGAUAUAAUAUCCAUGAUGGGAUUGAAUCAGAGAAUAUUCAACAGAUUGUCGAUUACAUUUCUUCAAAAUUAUGCAAGAGUGCUUAUUCUUUAUCUUCUUUGCAAGAUAUUGCUGGAAUAAAGGCUCAUUUAGAGAAACUAAAUUCCCAACUACAGAUAGAAAUCAAUGAUGCUCGGAUUGUAGGAAUUUGGGGAAUAAGCGGAGAUGGUAAAACGACAAUAGCAAAACCCAUCUUUGAUACUCUAUGUUAUCAAUUUGAAGCUUCUUGUUUUCUUACAGAUGUUAAAGAAAGUCCAAAAAAUACUCAAUUACAUUCUUUACAAAAUACACUUCUUUCUGAACUGUUAAAAAAAAAGAUGAUUACGUCAAAAAUAAGUAUGAUGGGAAGUCCAUGAUUCAAAGCAGACUUUGUUCUAAGAAGGUUCUAAUUGUGCUUGAUGACAUGGAUCAUAGUCAUCAUUUGGAGUAUUUAGCCGGUGAUCUUGGCUGGUUUGGUGAUGGCAUCAGAGUUAUUCUAACAACUAGGAAUAGACAUUUGAUAGAGAAGGAUGAAGCAAUAUAUGAGGUGUCUACCCUACCUUAUCAUGAAUCUAUGCAAUUGUUCAAUCAAUACACAUUGAAAAAAGAAGUUUCAGAUUAGCGUUUCAACAAGUUCUCGUUGGAGCUAGUAAAUCAUGCUAAAGGCCAUCCUUUAGCCCUCAAGGUAUGGGGUUCUUUGUUGCAUAGAAAGGCCUAACUCAGUGGAGAAGCCCUUUAGACUGAAUAAAGAAACAUUCUACUUCAGAAAUUGUUGAAAAACUUAAAAUAAGUUAUGAUGGGUUGGAACCCGAAGAGCAAAAGAUAAUUGUAGAUAUGGCAUGU